ensembl:lncRNA
GUGGUAGCCAGCUGGAUGUGCAGUAGGAGGUGGUGGCCAGCUGGAUGUGCAGUAGGAGGUGGUAGCCAGAUGGAUGUGCAGUAGGAGUUGGUAGCCAGAUGGAUGUGCAGUAGGAGGUGGUAGCCAGAUGGAUGUGCAGUAGGAGAUGGUAGCCAGAUGAAUGUGCAGUAGAAGAUGGUAGCCAGAUGAAUGUGCAGUAGGUGGUAGCCAGAUGGGUGUGCAGUAGAAGAUGGUAGCCAGAUGGAUGUGCAGUAGGAGUUGGUAGCCAGAUGGGUGUGCAGUAGGAGAUGGUAGCCAGAUGGAUGUGCAGUAAGUGGUAGCCAGAUGGGUGUGCAGUAGGAGACGGUAGCCAGAUGGAUGUGCAGUAGGAGAGCUGGUGGGUUGGUGGAUGAAGACAAGGCAGUGCUGCUGCACUGUGGGGCCGCCUGGCCUUCAUGCAUUAUGUAGGACCCUGUCACCAUCUCACCACCUCUCCCUCUGUCUCUGCAGUAAAUAUAGAUCAGCGACUGUCUUUUUCUCCCACCACCUCUGUGUUGACUCUUUCCAAGGUGUAGCAGUCUAUGGUUAUUAGGCUUACCUCAAGAGCUAGGUGAUUAUGGUCAUUUCUCCUCUGCAUUCUUGUAGCGUUAUUAGGUAAAGCAUGCACACGUUUAUGUGUGUGAGUGUGUUCCAAAUGCAGCGGAUGUGGAAA